GCAUCGAUGAAGAACGCAGCGAAAUGCGAUACUUGGUGUGAAUUGCAGAAUCCCGUGAACCAUCGAGUCUUUGAACGCAAGUUGCGCCCGAGGCUAUCCGGCCGAGGGCACGCCUGCCUGGGCGUCACGCCUCGCGUCGCUCCGUGCACCCCGUCCCGAGGAGGCGGCGGGUGCGGAUGCGGAGAUUGGCCCCCCGUGCCUGACGGCGCGGCGGGUCGAAGUGCGUACCGCCGGUCGGGACGGACGCGGCGAGUGGUGGACGGACACGUACGGCGCUGAACGUCGCCUCCGCCCCCCGGCCACGGCGGUACAUGCAAGGAACCCACGCCGAGCAUCCCUCGGAACACGACCCCAGGUCAGGCGGGGCCACCCGCUGAGCUUAA
rnacentral:rRNA from 1 species